CAAGCUAAGAAUAUUGUCUCCGGUGUUUUGGAACGCGCCACGAGGAAUCACAUCGAUCAGAUCGUAUUUGAAAUGAAAAACAGAAUACGCUUCUGCUGAAUGAUAUAUACCGGGAAUAUCUAAGUAUGUAGAAAACUGACGAAAAUCUGUAUCCGAAGGUAUAAUGCCCGAUUGGAAAAUUUCCUCCGCCAUAGUUUGAGCAAACGGAUAUUUGAUGCAUUGCUUGUAAUACUAUAAAAGUAAUUUAGUAUAUAGAAGCUUUCUGGAUAAUGUAUGUUUCUGGUAUUGAUUAUAGUACUUACCUUAAUAAGCCAUGGGUGAUUGGGACCACUUUGGAAUAGAAUGUCCUUGCCUCCACUGCCUGCAGCGUCCAAGUUGAUGACAGCCCUGCAAGCCUUUGCCCAUGGGUCAUUUAAUAUGAAACCAUGAGAUGCUUCCAAUGCUCCUUCUUCAGC